rnacentral:rRNA from 1 species
UUGCCUCAGUAACGGCGAGUGAAGCGGCAACAGCUCAAAUUUGAAAUCUGGCCCCUAGGCCCGAGUUGUAAUUUGCAGAGGAUGCUUUUGGUGCGGUGCCUUCCAAGUUCCCUAGAACGGGACGCCAGAGAGGGUGAGAGCCCCGUACAGUUGGACACCAAGCCUUUGUAAAGCUCCUUCGACGAGUCGAGUAGUUUGGGAAUGCUGCUCAAAAUGGGAGGUAUAUUUCUUCUAAAGCUAAAUACCGGCCAGAGACCGAUAGCGCACAAGUAGAGUGAUCGAAAGAUGAAAAGCACUUUGAAAAGAGGGUUAAACAGCACGUGAAAUUGUUAAAAGGGAAGCGCUUGUGACCAGACUUGCGUCCGGUGAAUCACCCAGCUCUCGCGGCUGGGGCACUUCGCCGGCUCAGGCCAGCAUCAGCUCGCUGUCGGGGACAAAAGCUUCGGGAACGUAGCUCUCUUCGGGGAGUGUUAUAGCCUGUUGCAUAAUACCCUUCGGCGGGCUGAGGUACGCGCUCCGGCAAGGANGUCUGGCANUANNGUANGUCAUGAUCCU